UAGCCCUGAUUAAAUCAUGAAACUCCACACCCUUGGGUUUGCUCACAUGUGAAGAACUCUUGAAGUGAAGAAAAUUAGAUAUAUAUCAAACAUACAUCCACUUGAGAACCACAAGGUCCUUGAUCUCCUUUUUUUUUCUAACCUUGCUCUAGGUUGAAUUGAAUCUUGAGCAAUUCAAUAUCUUGAAUCGAUCCAGAUAUUGAGUCUUGUUCCCAAGUGUGAAAACUUAAGCUUAAGUUGAUAUUCAAGCUCAUCUUGCAAGAUAAUAGGAGAGCUGAUAAGUUCAGUGCUCUUUCUGUCAUCCCAUGCUGCCAUAAAUUUAAUUGCAGCAAAUAAAUGGGAAUAUAGAAAAUGGUGAUAAAAACAGCAGUAGCAGCAGAAGCAAGGAGAGAAUCCAGAUGUCACCUUUGCAGGAAGUCUUUCUCUCCUCCAAGGACCCACAGAUAAUGUGGUG
rnacentral:lncRNA from 1 species